UACGUAGGGUGCGAGCGUUAAUCGGAAUUACUGGGCGUAAAGCGUGCGCAGGCGGUGAUGUAAGACAGGUGUGAAAUCCCCGGGCUUAACCUGGGAACUGCAUUUGUGACUGCAUCGCUGGAGUGCGGCAGAGGGGGAUGGAAUUCCGCGUGUAGCAGUGAAAUGCGUAGAUAUACGGAGGAACACCGAUGGCGAAGGCAAUCCCCUGGGCCUGCACUGACGCUCAUGCACGAAAGCGUGGGGAGCAAACAGG
rnacentral:rRNA from 1 species